rnacentral:misc_RNA from 1 species
UGCUUUUUAAAGGUGGCGAAUUCAAGAAAAUCAAGUGAAUUUGUUAGAUUUACAGAUACAGAUGAUACACAAACCACCGCCGUGACUGCGAUCGGCGGCGGUGUUGAAGGCGGUGGUCAGUUUGAUUAUUCGAUGUAUUCAGGGUAUUGUGAUUCUCAGGCGAGAGAUAUGUCGGAGAUGGUGACGGAGUUUACACGUGUGGUAUCGGGUCAGGAUUAUCGACCCGAUACCAGAUGUUAUUCGGUUAAUUCACCGUCUCCGGCUUAUUCUUCGUCCAGCUCGGGUUCUAGAGCUGGACUGAAGAGAAGCCGUGAUCAACAAGAAUUUGGAACUGGGUUGUCAUCUUCUUCCUCUGUUAAAAUUGAAGCUACAAGUAUGGUUGCACCAAUUCCCGCUUUCACAACCACAAUCACAACCACGACCACAACAGGUGAGGGUUCGAGCGAAGAAACAGGAGGAGAUAGGAGGAGGAAAUACAGAGGUGUACGACAACGACCAUGGGGUAAAUGGGCAGCGGAAAUAAGAGAUCCACAUAAAGCCGCCAGAGUUUGGUUAGGAACAUUCGAUA